AAUAUGUUAAUUUGUAAAAAAAAAAAAUGAAUACAGUUUGCAGUACUCAUAGUGCUACCAUUUUAUAUUAUAUAUUUAACAGAUACUAUGUCCUCAAUUGUCUUGCUUGUUUUUUCCAUGGCAAAAUUUUUAUUAAAUGGCUUUUUUUUUCUAAUCAUUACAAUGUAAUGAUAUUAUACAGAUUAUAUUUGAACACAAAUUUAUUUAUAGUUAAUAUAUAAAAUAUUCCUGUGUGGAGGAAGCAGGACUGUCUGUUCCAUGGAGCAGUUAUCAGUAUUAGAAUUAUUUCACAGCUCAGCUUUCGUUAUGUGUGCCUUGGUUUGCUUUGGGUAUUAUCUAAUAAUUUUUUUCUUUCAUUUUCUAACAAACUUUGUAGGAAGAGAGGUUUACAGUUUUUAGCCUCAUAAAGAUUGAAAAAUAAAAAUGAGUAGUGGUAAAUGUACAUAACUAACUUUAAAUGUUAAACAUGUUGUUCUGACCUUAUUAAUGAUUAACCUAUUAGGAAUAAUAUCAACCAAACCGUUUCUUUCAAAUCUUCUUUUUCCCUAGCCUAAACUUGUUAAAAAGUUCAGUUUAUGUGAAAUAGGUUGAAAAUGCAGAAUUCAUUUUGUCAUCUGCUUUUGGAUUUGAAAUUAAAUGCAAUCAUGUAACACUCAUUUUCAUUGGUCAAUGUUAAGCACCAAAUUCUCAAUUGAUACCUUGUACUGUAGUAAAGAAGUGAAUGAGCUGUCAUAUUGAAUUUCUGAAACUUUAUAUAUUAUAAUUUGAAUGAAAAUGAAACAUCACCUACCUCAAAGACAUAGUUUUAAUUAAAUAUCCAACUUUAAAGCAUACACACAUAAACACAAAUGGGGAUCCAGGAUUUUGAAAUGGGAGGGUUAUGAUAGACAGGAUGAGAAGAAGAACCUGUGAAAAGAUUGUUAAGCAAUUUAAAAGACAAGGAAUUAUAGUACUCUGUUUUAAGAGUUGCCUCCCAUCAAUUGGGGGUUUUAAUGUUGUAAAUAAUAAGGCAAGUUUGGUACAAGCUUUUUUCAUUGUGACCUCGAAUGCUUUCUUUUGGUAAAAAAUACUUUGACAAAUGUUUUUAUUUCUUGCAAAGAUGUACAAACUUGAAAUGGGUUCUCUGGUAAAAUACUGAUCAAGUAAAAAGAAAAAUAUAUAUUUGAUUAUUUUAUUAACUUGCUGUAUUGCUUAUGUUAAUGGUAAUUGUUAUGUGUAUUACACUGAGAAGUUAUUUCUAAAAAAAAAGUGAGAAUUAACACAGAAUUUUCUGUUUUUCUGAAGUUUUAAUAAAAGUUUAAAGGGUAGAGGUCAAAGGAUACCUACUCCUGUUCUAGUAGAAUAGUUUGUUUGUCAAAUUCCUAUUUUAGAAACCGAGUAUGGUUUAGUGAUUUACUAAGAGUGUGUCAAGAAUGACCAAAAAGUUCUUUUACAUGCAAUUUUCCUUUUCCUCAACUAAAUCAUAGUGAAACCUUGCAAAAAUAUACCGGUAAAUUAUCAGUGCAAUAUUCUAUUUUAGCAUAAUCAUUGGAAAUAAUCAGCUAGUUUAGAUUUGAAUAUUAUCAGUCAUUAUAAACAUGUCAAUCAAAAACAUAAACCUAUUUUUGAAGAAUACUGUAAAAGCAGUCUUUUUUCGUAGAGUUAAAUUUCUUGUCAAAUUGCUGAUGGCAGGCAAUGCAGAACUUGUUGGUAAGAUUUUAUUGUCAUGUUUUUUCAAUCUUGUUAAUGAUUUUCAUCACACAGCAAAUUACUCUUGAGAUUUUUCUUAAUUGAAAAAUUAGCAUGAAAUUGUUCAAUGAGAUAAAUCAUGAAAAAUCCUUGUUAUAAAAAAAAAAUUACAAUCCCUUUAGAUAAUUCUGAGUCUGAUGAGUUGUCUGUAAAUUUAUUGUUGCAUAAGAAUCUGAGACUGUGAAUUGAAGUUCAACACUAAUUAAAUUGGAAGAAUUAGGUUGAAUUUUGUCAUAGGGCAUCAAACUAAUUAAAACUUUAUUAUUUUUUUGUUAUUACUAACAAUGUUAAAUAGUACAAAAAUAUGAUAGAGAAUUGUUGUAAUGUUAUUUUGAUCCAUGCAAGAUCUGUCGUUGUUAGGGUGAUGGUUAUAUUUAGAUAAGGUUAUGGCCGAUUAACAAAAUGGCAGUCAAAUAUAAAAUAUUAAAGUAAAAAAUAAAUCAAUUGUUAAGUCAUUAACUUUAUUUUAUAUAAAUCUAUUUGUUCCUGAAUAGUAAAUACUGUUAAAACCUGUUUAAAUCCCCCAAAGAACACCAAACAGUUAUUGUUACUGAAUUUAUCUGAGCUCAUGAAUAUUCAUGAGGUCAGUUAUUGACCUAAGUAUGAAUUUGAUUAUAGAUUAUUUUUAUACCCAAAUUGCAACCAUUUGUUGAAAUAUAAACUGUGAUUAUAGGUAAUUCAUUCCUUGAUAGUAUCAGAUAUUCCAAAGAAGAUUAUUAUUUUUUUCUAUUGGAAAGUGACAUGUUGUCUGUUUAAUGAUAUAGACAGAAAUCAAAUAUCUGUCAAAAGUCAAAACGUAUGGUUAUAAAAGUAAAUGACAGUUCACAUGAAAUGAGAAAAAAGUUUAUUUGGAUAUUGAAAGUUUUGAUUAAGGAAUAAAAUUGAGAAUGGAAAUGGGGAAUGUGCCAAAGAGACAACAACCCAACCAUAGAAAAAAACAACAGCAGAAGGUCACCAACAGGUCUUCAAUGAAGCGAGAAAUUCCCGCACCAAGAGGCGUCCUUCAGCUGGCCCCUAAACGAAUAUAUACUAGUUCAGUGAUAAUGAACGCCAUACUAAUUUCCAAAUUGUACACAAGAAACUAAAAUUAAAAAAAUACAAGACUAACAAAGGCCAGAGGCUCCUGACUUGGGACAGGCGCAAAAAUGCGGCGGGGUUAAACAUGUUUGUGAGAUCUCAACCUUCCCCCUAUACCUCUAGCCAAUGUAGAAAAGUAAAAGCAUAACAAUACGCACAUUAAAAUUCAGUUCAAGAGAAGUCCGAAACAUAGAAAUUUAAUGGAAUCAAAUCUUAUAUGAUCAGUUCAAAGGAUGGAGCUAAUCUAUAUAAAUUUUCUGAGGAAAAUGUCAAGAAUAUUUAUUUUUGAAAUGUUAUUUUGUUCAUAAAUUCAUCAUAUGAUCUGUUAUAAAUAAAUUUAUACAUAAAUAAAGAGUCUAAAAUUCAUACAACUGACAACAUAUAGUUUUUUGGUGUGGCCUAAUAAGAAUUUUUAUAUAUAUUGUUAUUGUUUUAAAUAUACACAGCUUUAAAUACAUGUAUACCGAUUUAUAUUAUUAUAUUUGUUUAUCACAACACUAAACAAUCAUAUGAACCAUUUAAUAUAUAUUUGUUUAUAUUAUCAAAUAAGUUUUUACUGUGACAGUUAAUGGAAUUGUUUUUGAAUUUCACUCAAACUAUCGAAAAGUUUUGAUAGGAUGUAAUUUGAAUUUGAGUUAUUGCCCUUGACCACCAUUUAAGAAGAGGGGGGGGGAUAAAAUGGUUGACUUGCUUAAUUCACUUCCCAAAUUGAAACAUGAAAUACAAACAAGUCUGAUAAAAGAUCAUUACUAGAUUGUAAUGAUGAAUUAAGCAAGGCUAAAAGAAGUUUAAGUUGUUCUAGUAGUCAGUAUAACAAGAUGAAUAUGGUAGUAGGAAUGUGUACCCGUAGACAUCUCACAUUUUGUCACAAGGGAAAUAAAUCUUGCUUAAAUUGUAUCACUCUCAAAACCUAAGAAUCCAACAUGGUGUUCAGUAGGGUAGAAAUAUGUUAUAUGUACAAACCAUGUUAUUUAAAUUCAAUCAUAUAACUUUUUGAGAUUUUUUUUAUAAUACAAUGUGUGUACAAAUCGGAAUAUAUCGAUUAAUAUAAUGACAGAAUUGGGGUAUAUAUUUAUGAUAAAAGGGGAAAUAUUGGGUAUAUAUCUAAGAUAAAUGGGAGAAAACUUUAUAUAGUCAUUAUUUAAGAUUUAUUUAAGAUUUAUUCAAGAUGUCAGAACCAAUCAUUCAGACAUGAAUUUCUUUAUAGAGUUGAAAAGUUCAAAUAUUUUUGACUUGAAAGAGUAAAAAUAAACAGACUGGUUUUGUCAUCUAGACAUGAAUUUCUUUGUAAAGUUGAACAGUUCAAAUAUUUUUGACUUGAAAGAGUAAAAAUAGAAAGAAAAAAUACCAACUGGUUUUGUUUUGAAGAAAUUCUUCUAAUGCUGGUGUGAAUAUAUUGUCUCAUUGUUAUUUGUAUAUUGUUAUGUUAUGAUGUGCAAUAUGUAUAUAUAUCAAUGUCUAUAUCACAAUGUAUAUGUUAAUGUACAAAUAUGUAUUGAUAUGACCACUCUUUGGUGGAGAGAUUUUGUUUUAGAACAUUUUAUAUACUGUAUAUCCCUUUUUUUCUCUUGUGCAUUAACAUUUGCUGCAUUUCAUGGUUGGCUCUGUAGAAGAAAAAUUAUACCUGAUAAAAAUAUUAUGUUUAACCUAAGAUACAUUGGUGAAGACUAAGAUAUGAAUAGUAAACCUUGCAAUUAUUUUACUGACCAUAUUUCCUUCUAUGUCACAAUAUAAGCUGACACCAAAAGUAAUUAAUUUAUGGCACAGUUAAGCAAAAGUAUAAAAAUUGAAAUUCAAUUGGUAUGUAAAGGGAUUUGGCAUAUAACAGGCUAUUAUUUGAACUUGGAAUUAUUUUUAAUUAUGGAAUUUGCCUAAUUUCUUGUGUUUAAAAUUUUUAAUAAAUUCCAUGUUAAUUUGGUAUUAUAAUCUUUUGAGCGGUUAAUAAAACUUUCCAUACAAUGUAUUUUGGUUAGAUAGUGUUGUGCGCGGCACAGUACAUUCUAUUGAAAAUAUAGUAUUUUCUUUGUAUUAUUAAGUGUUGUGCGCAGCACAGAGCAUUUCAGUACAGAAUAAACAUGGAAUUUAUAAAAAAUCUCAAUAACAAGAAAUCAAGCAAAUUCCAUAAUUUAAAAUAAUUCCAAGUUCAAAUAAUAGCCUGUUAUAUACAGUUGAUUCAGAAAUUAAAGCAUGCAUUUAUAAUUGUGAAUCCUUGACCUCUAGAAAAAAUUCCAGAUAUAAGAUCAAAGAUUUAUAAAGAAAGAUCAUUUCUGAAAUAAUAAAUGCAUGUUUUUUUCAUUGUGCACCAGAUACUGUCACAUUUUACACAUUGAUUAGAAUAUAAUUUCUGAAUUUACAGUAGUUUUGGAAGUUAGCAUAGGAUUUUUUCACAUUAAAUCUAAUUGUCAUGUGAGUUCAUAGAAUUAGAUUUUUGAACUCUAUCAAAGAAACCCAACAGAAUGUUAAUAUAUAUUACAUGUAAAUCUUUCUUGUACAGUUUGUUAUGUGAUCUUUAUGUAAAUUAGAAGUCAUUCAAUUUAGCAAAACCAGAUUUUCUUGGGGUAUUUUUUCAAAGAUUUCUGGAUGUGAAAAAGAUUAUGUAGAACAAAAUUAUAUAUAAAUGCAGUUAUAUAAAGAAAAAAUUAGAAAGUGAUUUUUGUAAAGUUCCUUUUUUAAGAUUUUUUGGAAAUAUGGUAUAAAAUAAUCUUUAUACAGCAAACAAUUGGCCAUUUUAUCAUAUAAGCGAUAGUGGGUAAAUUAAUUUUUUUCACCAAAAUGAAAAUAAAAUUAGUCUAGUGGUUUGGGUAUCAAAUAUAAAUGAACAAAGAUUUGAUGCAUAUUUUGAAAAAUAUUCCCAGGACCAUGGUUCCCUUGGGACAUUUUAUUUUCGGGAUUCUUUCUUAAUAGGAAAAUUGUUGCAUGGGAUCUAUAAGUGUCUUCUUACUAAGGCUGAAUUAGCUUUAUCACCAGUAGAUUUAGAAUUGGUCUUCAUUAAGUGGUUAAGAGAAUAUAUACAUGUAUAUGCAAAUUUGGACCAAAAAAAUGCAAUCUCUGGUUUGCAUCAUUGGGUGAGUGUAUAGUUUUAUAUAUUCUAUUGAAUAUUUUAUAUAGUAGAUUUAUUAAACUUAUGUACAGGAUAAACAUGUAUAUAUUGUUUCAUAUAUAGAAAUAUGUUUGUAAAUACAUGAACACAAUCUAAAUGUUUAAGUAUUGAAUAUGUAAACCUGUCAAAGGAUGAAUAUAGGAAUUGAUAUUUUAUGAACUAAACCAGACUACACUAAAACCUGUCUAAAAGUAGUGAUUUAAAGAAUAAAACAAAAAUAAAUAAUGAAGACUAAACUUCAUAAUACUUUUUGAAAUUUUGGAAAACUCUAGUUUAACAUAAUCAAUAAAAGAUGGACGAAAGAUACCAGAGGGACAGUCAAACUCAUAAAUCGAAAAAAAAAUGACAACGUCAUGGCUAUAGAAGAAAAAGACAAACAGACAACAUUUAUAACUUACUUUAACUAACUAUAACUUACUUUACUAAAUUCUGUCAUACAGUAACUAUCACAAUUUCAGAACUGGUCUAAAGAGGACUUUGAGAAGAGAAAGUUUGACAAUGACUUAAGGCGACUUCACUCAUGAUUCUUAAAAUAUUUCAUGCUCUUUAAGAAUGACAAAUUAAUUGAAUUAAUUCUCCUUGUUGUAGAAGUUGCCAGUUAAAAUAAGUACAGAUAAUUUCUAUCAAAACUAUUACAAAAAAGAAAUAACUAUUAUUUGGCCUUAUGGUCUGUUUUCAGUAUCUAAAUAAGUUCUACAAGUGCUUGAAAUUGUAAAUCAGAUAUGGUAAAAUAUUUUAUUCUGAAUUUUUUUCAUCAGGCUUUACAAAAAUAAAUUAUCUGACUUAUGAAAACUGUUCAAUCCUUCUUUUAGAAAUACUGAAAUAAAAAUAAAAUUGAGAAAGGAAAUGGUGAAUAUGUCAAAGCGACAACCACCCGACCAUAGAGCAAACAACAGCCGAAGGCAACCAAUGGGUCUUCAAUGUAGCGAGAAUUCCCGCACCCGUAGGUGUCCUUCAGCUGGCCCCUAAAAUAUGCAUAAUAGUACAGUGAUAAUGGACGUCAUACUAAACUCCGAAUUAUACACAAGAAACUAAAAUUUAAAAUUCUACAAGACUAACAAAGGCCAGAGGCUCCUGACUUGGGACAGGCGCAAAAUUGCGGCGGGGUUAAACAUGUUUAUGAGAUCUCAACCCUCCCCCUAUACCUCUAGCCAAUGUAGAAAAGUAAAAAGAAUAACAAUACGCACAUUAAAAUUCAGUUCAAGAGAAGUCCGAGUCUGAUGUCAAAAGAUGUAACAAAAGAAAAUAAAUAAAAUGACAAUAAUACAUAAAUAACAACAGACUACUAGCAGUUAACUGACAUGCCAGCUCCAGACCUCAAUUAAACUGAUUGAAAG
rnacentral:lncRNA from 1 species